UACGGGGGGGGGCAAGCGUUGUUCGGAAUUACUGGGCGUAAAGGGCGCGUAGGCGGUCUGCUAAGUUGGAUGUGAAAACUCUGGGCUUAACCCAGAGCCUGCAUUCAAAAACUGACAGGCUAGAGUUCUGGAGGGGAUAGCGGAAUUCCUGGUGUAGCGGUGAAAAUGCGUAGAUAUCUGGAGGAACACCGGUGGCGAAGGCGGCUUCCUGGACCGAUUACUGAGCUGAGGCGCGAAAGCUAGGGGAGCAAACGGG
rnacentral:rRNA from 1 species